AUCAAGACGUGGUAAAGCAGCUUAAGUGCCUCGUCUAUAAAUAAACCUCGUGAAUUGCUGGAAACUCUUUUAUGACUUAUUGGCUACAACGUGACUGGAAACGGUGAGCGUGAAUGCUUAAAAACAAUAAGUGGAUAAAGACAAUCAGCAGCCAAGCUCCUAAUUAGGAGAAGGUUCAACGACCAUCGAAACCACGUGUAAAAGCGGAAGGGAGUAGAGUAGGGGCCAAGCGGUUCCGAAGUGCGAGGACAUUCAACAUUUGAAUGUAAGAUAUGGUCUGAACUCUAUGGUGACAUAGAG
rnacentral:ncRNA from 1 species